rnacentral:rRNA from 1 species
GCACAGUCUUAACGAUGGAUGUCUUGGUUCCUACAGCGAUGAAGGCCGCAGCGAAAUGCGAUACGCAAUGAAAAUUGCAGUGACUGUGAAUCAUCUGAACGCUGAAUGUAAACUACACCAAUU